rnacentral:rRNA from 1 species
UACGUAGGGUGCAAGCGUUGCCCGGAUUGACUGGGCGUAAAGGGCGCGUAGGCGGUUUGUACAGUCAGACGUGAAAUUCCCGGGCUCAACCUGGGGGCUGCGUUUGAUACGUGCAGACUUGAGUUCGGAAGAGGGUCGUGGAAUUCCCAGUGUAGAGGUGAAAUUCGUAGAUAUUGGGAAGAACACCGGUGGCGAAGGCGGCGACCUGGUCCGAUACUGACGCUGAGGCGCGAAAGCGUGGGGAGCAAACAGG